GUGGUUAUGGCUGCUACUCUUGGCUACUUACUCCAUUGUCCCAACCUGAUUCUCCUGCUGAACACAGUUACAAUCAUGCAUAUAAGUCUACGCGGAACGUGAUAGAAAGAUGUUUUGGGGUGCUGAAAUCUAGGUUUCGGUGUCUGGAUAAAUCUGCUGGGCUUUUGUUGUAUAGUCCCUCUAAAGUGACUAGGAUUGUGUUCUGCUGCUGUUUUCUCCAUAAUCUGUGUUUGCAACAACAUCUGCCACAUAAUGAUGAAGAAAACAGUCAGCAAGCAGAGGAGUUAGAAACAUCUGGUGACAGUGUGAGUACAGAUGUAGGGAGGCAGGUAAGGCAAGAAGUUAUUCAGCGAUAUUUUACCCACAGCUGAGGUGAUCGUGGCUCAUCACUUUGAGGACUUGCCAAAAUUUCCAGAGGUGGCUGGGGCAACACUGCGGAGAUGCGCCGCCUGGGUGGUGAAGAUGGAGCCGCAGACUCAGACUCCACACGACGUGUCUUACUGGGCCUCCUAGGCAAACUCACAGAGCCCUGUGAUGGCCGCCUUAGAGGAGGGCGGCUUGCAGAAGAAGAACCUAUGUGAAAAGAAAAACAUUAUUAUUUUUUUGCUUCUAUGUGUUUGCCGAAUAUGUGAAUACAGUGAAUUCUUACCUGCAUUCCCACCAUCAUCAUCAGUUGGCUGUGGCCUGUGUGUGGUGCUUCUCUGGCGUACUGUUGAUACAUUUGAAAAAACAUUAUGACCAUACUUUAAAUACUCCUUGUUAUCUGAACUUCCUUAUUGUGAUGUAAACAUCUGGAACCUAAUGUUAAGUAAACUAUUUUUUGUUUAAGCUA